CAAAGUGUUUAAUGCAAAGAAAUGAACAGUGUUUGGGCUACAGGAUAGAUUCCAACUUCUCCGUUGUUGCUACCAUUUGAACUCGAAAAUGACACUUUUAAAUCUUAGACUCUUCAUAAAAAUUUUAGGCAUAUGUCUUAGCUUUCCAUA
rnacentral:pre_miRNA from 1 species